rnacentral:rRNA from 1 species
AUUGAACGCUGGCGGCAGGCCUAACACAUGCAAGUCGAGCGGAUGAAGGGAGCUUGCUCCUGGAUUCAGCGGCGGACGGGUGAGUAAUGCCUAGGAAUCUGCCUGGUAGUGGGGGAUAACGUCCGCAAACGGGCGCUAAUACCGCAUACGUCCUGAGGGAGAAAGUGGGGGAUCUUCGGACCUCACGCUAUCAGAUGAGCCUAGGUCGGAUUAGCUAGUUGGUGGGGUAAAGGCCUACCAAGGCGACGAUCCGUAACUGGUCUGAGAGGAUGAUCAGUCACACUAGAGCUGAGACACGGUCCAGACUCCUACGGGAGGCAGCAGUGGGGAAUAGUGGACAAUGGGCGGAAGCCUGAUCCAACCGUGCCGCGUGUGUGAAGAAGGUCUUCGGAUUGUAAAGCACUUUAAGUUGGGAGGAAGGGCAGUAGGUUGCUACCUUGCUGUUUUGACGUUACCAACAGAAUAAGCACCGGCUAACUUCGUG